AUUGAACGCUGGCGGCAUGCCUUACACAUGCAAGUCGAACGGCAGCACGGGUGCUUGCGCCUGGUGGCGAGUGGCGAACGGGUGAGUAAUAUAUCGGAACGUACCUUAUUGUGGGGGAUAACGCAGCGAAAGCUGUGCUAAUACCGCAUAAUCCCUAAGGGGGAAAGCGGGGGACCGUAAGGCCUCGCGCAAUUAGAGCGGCCGAUACCUGAUUAGCUAGUUGGUGAGGUAAAGGCUCACCAAGGCAACGAUCAGUAGCUGGUCUGAGAGGACGAUCAGCCACACUGGGACUAAGACACGGCCCAGACUCCUACGGGAGGCAGCAGUGGGGAAUUUUGGACAAUGGGGGCAACCCUGAUCCAGCAAUGCCGCGUGAGUGAAGAAGGCCUUCGGGUUGUAAAGCUCUUUUGUCAGGGAAGAAACAGCAGCUCUAACACAGUUUGCGAAUGACGGUACCUGAAGAAUAAGCACCGGCUAACUACGUGCCAGCAGCCGCUGUAA
rnacentral:rRNA from 1 species